rnacentral:rRNA from 1 species
CAAUAGCGUAUAUUAAAGUUGUUGCAGUUAAAAAGCUCGUAGUUGGAUUUCUGAAUUGAAUAUCCGGUCCGCUCGUCUCUGAUGAGUGCGUACUUAUGGAUAUUGGAUUCAUUUUUUGUGAGGACAUUUAUCUGUCAUUAAGUUGAUGGAUUUAUAGACUUGCAUCGUUUACUGUGAAAAAAUUAGAGUGUUUAAAGCAGGCGUUCGCCCAUUUGAAUACAUUAGCAUGGAAUAAUAAGAUAUGACUUUGGUGGUCUAUUUUGUUGGUUUGCACACCAGAGUAAUGAUUAAUAGGGACAGUUGGGGGUAUUCAUAUUUCAACGUCAGAGGUGAAAUUCUUAGAUCGUUGAAAGAUGAACUUAGGCGAAAGCAUUUACCAUGGAUGUUUUCAUUAA